ACAGUCUUUGCAUGCCCUCCUCGUUUACUGUCGCUCUGUAAUGCGUCAAUGUGCUUUUCGUGCGUGCCCAAACCACGAGAACUCUGUUUUCCACAAGAUAAAGUAGUCCGGCGGCGGUAGCACCCGCGGCGUGUAUUCGGGAACUGGCGCUGCUUGCCCCCUUAGCUGUGUUAGGCUUAGGAAGGGGCCCGCAAUUGGCCCUUAAGCGAUCCCCCCGUAUCCGCGCGGGUAUUCUACUACUAGAAGGGAAAACAAGUGUAACAUAGCAACUACUGUAAAUAACCAUUCCCUCUCAGAUGCCUUGUUUUUAUACUUGUGCCUGUGAUAUUUCCGGACUUCGGCGUUUUGGCCUGUGCGAGAAUCGGCCGUUUAGGCCUAGUGGUUCAGGUGAUCCACUCAACCCACUUCGUACGCUACGAAGCUGCAAUAGUUGUACAAUAGUAUAAAUAGGAAAACAAACCGGACACCUAGGAGGUGAGCGCCAACUUAGGACUGGACUCUUUAAACGGUUUUUUUUGUGUGUGUGAGUGCGCGGAAACAAGAGUGGACAAGUGCUUCAAAUAACGUCCCAUCGUCCAGCGAACAAUCAUGAGCGGAGACACGAAGCGGAAAAGCAAGAGCAACACGAGCAGGCCGGCCAGGUCGAAAGUUUCUCAGGAUCGCAAGCUCGAAGGCAUAUACAACAAUGCCCGCUUUGUCCACAUUGCUG